AACUCUCAGCAAUGGAUAUCUUGGCUCUUGCAACGAUGAAGAACGCAGCAAAAUGCGAUACCUAAUGCGAAUUGCAGAAUUCCGUGAGACAUCGAUACUUUGAAUGCACAUUGCGCUCAAGGCUUCGGCCGAGAGCACGUCCGCCUCAGGGUC
rnacentral:rRNA from 1 species